ACCGUUUGGUGAUAAUGCGAAUAGAUCUACUCCAUAACGAAGCUGAACGUCUGCAGAGGCGCAAGAGGUGUAAACAAGCGUUGAUUGGUUAAGAAAAUUUCGGUAUUCAAAUGCCAGAAAUUGCCAGUAGCAGCCAGUAAUAGUUUCACCAGCCAGCAGCAGCACACUAUACUACUAAUACAGCAGCAGUACAAUCUAAACCUACCUUAGUGGUAAAAAAAUACAAAAUAACUUCCAGAUUACGGUGGUUAUAAGACCUGUUUCUGCAGCAAAUUCCCUGUGAAUCUGCAUCACAAUGGUCAAGGAUAUGUGUAAAGAAUGUGGUGGUGUAUCACCUGAAAGAUGCUGUUUAAGGAAAGAUGAGCCUCAUCGCCACCAGUUCUCAACACUCCCUGCCCCAAAGGAACAUCAUCCAAAUUCUAGGACAAUGCCAUCAACUAGAAGUGACUCGCCAGCCCAGGUCGUGGAAAGAAAUCCCUGGGGACCAGUCCUCCAGAGCCGAAGCAACUUUCUAGAGAUGCAUGUUUGUUAGGAAUCUUGGUGUCAUAAAUACUGUUCAGCAGUUUGUAGUUCACAAUCAAUACAUUGUCUGUGUGUACUUACAUAUUUUGUGUCAGAUGUUGCUGCCUAUACAAUAUUGAUUAUUUGGCAAUAAGCCCAUGCUGGGUAAUAAGCCCACCUAUGUAGUAGUUUAGUGCAAAUAAUAACAAAUGAUUUUUUAUUUCUUGCAAUAACCUCAAACGCCACUUUGAGUACAAAUUCAUGUCUUAGCCCCCAGGGCUUAUUACUUGAUAGAUAUAUUGUAUCACUCAGUUAUUAUCUUCUGUAAGAUCAGGGAACCAACAAUUUACUUUUGACUCAAAAGUGCGCAGUUUGGAUGAUUCAUUAGCUAUGAAAAUAGUAUUUUAUGGAGUGAGUUAGAUGCUGGCAUGGUUUUGUUGCUUGAUGAAACAUUUCUAUGUAAUCAAAAGUUUCUUUCAUGACGGUGAUGAUACUUCGACUAUUGUUCAGGAAAUUCAUCAUUACAUAUUUUACUUUCAUUUUACUUUUAAACAUUCCAAACAUCCUUUUACCACAUAUACAAUCAGGGUAGAUUAAUCCAGUCAUUUUUAUGUAAAUGGAUAGUUAUGAUGUGAAAUAGUUAACGAACCAUUAAGUGUCACUAUUAGUCUGAGUUCCCCCUGGCUCAUACACUAGAUGUUAAAUGAUCGACAGACAGGUGUCUUUAUGUUUAAACAUGAUUGUCUGUCAGAAUGUCUUAACGUCUGGUUUUGGAGACAGAACAGUAUUGACUGUAUAAACCUAGCUUGUAUGUAUUUUCCAUCAAAAAGACCAACAAAAACCUUGUCUAACAUACUGGAUUUUUCCUGUAAUAAGCGCAGAGACCCAAUACAGAAAAAUUUCUGGCUCAUGAAAAUAUCAUUAGGGUAUUAUUGACUUAUCACUGGACAAAUACAAUAAGAAAACAUUCUAAUACUUCAGCUCAAAAAUUUACAUCAAAGACAAUAAUUUUACUGUUUGUAUCAGUGAUGUCCUUACACAUUUUUCAAAACGUUUUUAUACCCUCCUUGAAAAUUAGAAGGUGGCUUUAAUUUGAUUGAAGGACAGGGGUUGUGGUGACUCUACAGAUAUAUAAUCAUUUGGGGAUUUUUAAAAUUUUAAUUCAAGCUAGUUUAUUUUCAAUAAAUUUUUUUCACAUUAUUGGAGAGCUUAAUUGAUCUUAAUGUAAGAAUUUUUCCUUUGCCUUUUUUUACAAGUUUUAUAUUAGAUUUGAGACAAUGUCAUGGACCUUCAAUACUUGAAGUACUGGUUAAUAUGGGUCCUAUAAGUACUUAGAUAUGUGUGUCUUGUGUGUUGCUUGGAGGAGUUCCAGAAGCCAUACGAUUAC